GAAUUUAUUUGUAGUAGGCAAUGAUAUUAGAAGAAAAAAGAGGUAGAUAGGUUACUUAUAUCAAAUUCGAUGUUUACAAAUGGCACGCUGCGUCAACGCCGAAAGACUCAUAUACACAUAAACGCAUAGAUAGUAUUUUAACGUCACACAACAGAGAGUAUAAAGGACGGU